AUUGAACGCUGGCGGCAGGCCUAACACAUGCAAGUCGGCGACGGCGGACGGGUGAGUAAUGUAUGGGAAUCUGCCUGAUGGAGGGGGAUAACACUUGGAAACAGGUGCUAAUACCGCAUACUGCUGAGAGGGCACGGGGGGGAUUAGCUAGUAGGUGCGGUAACGGCUCACCAAGGCCACGAUGCAUAGCUGGUCUGAGAGGAUGACCGGCCACACUGGGACUGAGACACGGUCCAGACUCCUACGGGAGGCAGCAGUGGGGAAUAUUGGACAAUGGGCGCAAGCCUGACCGAGCAAUGCCGCGUGAGUGAAGAAGGUUUUCGGAUCGUAAAGCUCUGUUGUUAGAGAAGCGUUACCUAACCAGAAAGCCACGGCUAACUCCGUGCCAGCAGCCGCGGUAAUAC
rnacentral:rRNA from 1 species